ACCCCCAGGGAGUGGAGGCCCCAGCCGUGGAGCCCUGCAGUAUAUGUGUGGUAACACCAUGUCUGUGCCCCUGCUCACCAACGCUGCCACUGUGUCUGGAGCUGAGCAGGAAACAGCUGUGGUUAUUUUUUUACAUGGACUUGGAGACACAGCUGGGCUGAUGCCCUCUCCACCAUCCGGCUCCCUCACCUCAAGUACAUCUGCCCCCAUGCACUCCUGGUUUGACCUGAUGGGGCUGAAUCCAGACACGCCAGAGGAUGAGGCUGGCAUCAAGAAAGCAGCAGAGAACAUCAAGGCCUUGAUUGAGCAUGAGAUGAAGAAUGGGAUCCCUGCCAUUCGGAUCCUCCUGGGCUUUUCACAGGGUGGAGCUUCAUCCCUCUACACAGCCCUCACCUGCCCACACCCUCUGGCUGGCAUUGUGGCAUUGAGCUGUUGGCUACCUCUGUAUCACAGGGCCUUCCCCCAGGAAGCCAAUGGUAGUGCCAAGGACCUGACCAUCCUUCAGUGCCAAGGGGAGCUGGACCCCAUGGUUCCUGUACGGUUUGGGGCCCUGACAGCCGAGAAGCUCUGGUCCAUUGUCACACCUGCCAGGGUCCGGUUAAAGACGUACCCAGGUGUCAUGCAUAGCCCCUGUCCUCAGGAGAUGGCAGCUAUGAAGGAGUUUCUCAAGAAGCUGCUGCCUCCUGUCUAACCAGAGUUGCUGUCCCCCAGCACAGUCCCCCUGCUAACGGGUGACUCAGCAUGCAUGGCACCAUCUUGGAUCUGAGCCAGUUGAGCCCCUUUCUCACCCUUCUGGACCCAUCCUCUUCCCACAGGUCUCUGGGGCAGACAAGUUAAAGCCUGGCCAGGCCCACCUUCCUGGUUUCCGCCCCCUGGCUGUCUGCCGCAGGGGGUGGGCUGCUUUCUUAUCCCAUUUCCCUGGAGGUGGGGCCCUCCCCGCGGCAGCAGUAUUGGAGGGGCUAUAGGCAGCAGGAGAAAGGGGCCCAGCCGCUGACCCACUCACUCAGGACCUCACUCAGUAGCACUGCUUUGGGCCCUCUCUGGUGACCUCAGGGUUUGGCCCAUGGGGCCCUCCCAGGCCCCACCUCC